rnacentral:lncRNA from 1 species
UUUUUUGCCUUGGCGUUGUCAGUUUUUUCUUUCGACUUAUGAGUUUGACUGUCCGUUUGGUAUUUUUUGCCUCUCUUAUACAUGUUUGCUUUGAUGAAACAUGUGCUGUGACGUGAGAUAUGAUCACAUCUUCAAAUAAGAUAAAAACUAUAUCCUAGCAGUUGUCUGUUAUUUACAUCUUAGAAGGUCAUUAAACAAAUUAACUUUCUGCAGAU